rfam:Camelus ferus unplaced genomic scaffold scaffold175, whole genome shotgun sequence.
GAGGGUAUAGCUCAAGCAGUAGAGCAUGUGCUUAUCACACGUGAGGUCCUGGGUUCAAUCCCUAGUACCUCCU